rnacentral:rRNA from 1 species
UCUACGGGAGGCAGCAGUGGGGAAUAUUGGGCAAUGGAGGCAACUCUGACCCAGCAACGCCGCGUGAAUGAUGAAGGUCUUCGGAUUGUAAAGUUCUUUUCUAAGGGAAGAAGAAAGUGACGGUACCUUAGGAAUAAGCCUCGGCUAACUACGUGCCAGCAGCCGCGGUAAUACGUAGGAGGCAAGCGUUAUCCGGAAUGACUGGGCGUAAAGGGUGCGUAGGUGGUUUGACAAGUUAGUAGCGCAACUCCGGAGCUCAACUUCGGAACUACUACUAAAACUGUUGGACUUGAGUGCAGGAGGGGCAAUCGGAAUUCCUAGUGUAGCGGUGAAAUGCUUAGAUAUUACUCAGAACACCGAUUGCGCAGGCAGCUUGCUAAUCCGCAUCUGACGCUGAUGCACGAAAGCGUGGGUAGCGAACAGGAUUAGAUACCCGGGUAGUC